GUCUGGGUGGCGCAACUGGUUAGCGCGUUCGACUGUUAAACAACGGUUUAUCGAGAGGUUGUGAGUUCGAGCCUCACCCUGGACG
rnacentral:tRNA from 2 species